AGAGUUUGAUCCUGGCUCAGAUUGAACGCUGGCGGAAUGCUUUACACAUGCAAGUCGAACGGCAGCACGGGAGCUUGCUCCUGGUGGCGAGUGGCGAACGGGUGAGUAAUAUAUCGGAACAUGUCCAAUAAUGGGGGAUAACUAUCCGAAAGGAUAGCUAAUACCGCAUACGCCCUGAGGGGGAAAGCGGGGGAUCGUAAGACCUCGCGUUAAUGGAGUGGCCGAUAUCUGAUUAGCUAGUUGGUGAGGUAAAGGCUCACCAAGGCGACGAUCAGUAGCUGGUCUGAGAGGACGACCAGCCACACUGGAACUGAGACACGGUCCAGACUCCUACGGGAGGCAGCAGUGGGGAAUUUUGGACAAUGGGCGCAAGCCUGAUCCAGCCAUUCCGCGUGAGUGAAGAAAGGCCUUCGGGUUGUAAAGCUCUUUCGCAAGGGAAAGAAACUUAGCUAAUAACACUAGUUGAGGCUGACGGUACCUUGAUAAGAAGCACCGGCUAACUACGUGCCAGCAGCCGCGGUAAUACGUAGGUGCGAGGCGUUAAUCGGAAUACUGGGCGUAAGCGUGCGCAGGCGGUUUUGUAAGUCAGAUGUGAAGCCCCGGCUCAACCUGCAACUGCGUUUGAACUACCAAGGCUAAAGUUGUAACAAAGGGGGCUAGAAUUCCACGUGUUAGCAAUGCAAUGCGUUAAGAUGUUGGAGGAAAUACCAAUGGGCGAAAGCAGCCCCUGGUAUAAACCUUGGACGCCUCAUGCACGAAACGCGUGGGGAGCAUAUAGGAUUGAGAUCCCUGUGGUAGUCCACGCCUUAAGCGAUGUCUUAUUAGUUUGUGGGGGAAGAGUAAAAUUCUCUUAGUAACGACAGCUUAACGGCGUGAAUGUAGACCCCCCUUGGGAGAUGUACGUGUUCCGCAAGGAUUAAAAUCUCAAAAGGGAAUUUGAGCGGGGGCCCCGCCACAAAGGCGGUGGGUAUAAUGGUGGAUUAUAUUUCGAUUGACACCGGCGAAAAACCUUUAACUGUGCCCCUGGACACAUGGUUACUUACCGAACGCCAAGAAGAAUCGCAUUUAGGGUGCCCGGAAAAGGGAAAAGUGUGAGACACAAAGGGUGCUUGCCAAUGCCUGUUCUGUCCAGCUUCGUGUGUUCGGUGAGGAAUGUUUGGGGUUAAGUUCCCCGCAACGAGGCGCGCAACCUUUGGCCAAUAUAAUUGCCAUCCAUUUAAGUUUGGGCACUUUUAUUUGGGACUUGCCCGGUGACAAAACCGGAGGAAGGGUGGGGGAUGACGUCCAAGUCCCUCCAUGGCCCUUAUGGCCCAGGGGCUUUCACACGUAAUACAAUGGUCGGUACAGAGGGUUGCCCAACCCGCGAGGGGGAGCCAAUCCCAGAAAGCCGAUCGUAGUCCGGAUUGCAGUCUGCAACUCGACUGCAUGAAGUCGGAAUCGCUAGUAAUCGCGGAUCAGCAUGUCGCGGUGAAUACGUUCCCGGGCCUUGUACACACCGCCCGUCACACCAUGGGAGUGGGUUCCACCAGAAGUAGUUAGUCUAACCGCAAGGAGGACGAUUACCACGGUGGGAUUCAUGACUGGGGUGAAGUCGUAACAAGGUAACC
rnacentral:rRNA from 1 species